rnacentral:rRNA from 1 species
CACCAGCUUGCUGGUGUGGAUGAGUGGCGAACGGGUGAGUAAUACGUGAGUAACCUGCCCUUGACUCUGGGAUAAGCCCGGGAAACUGGGUCUAAUACUGGAUGCUACAUGUCACCGCAUGGUGGUGUGUGGAAAGGGUUUACUGGUCUUGGAUGGGCUCACGGCCUAUCAGCUUGUUGGUGAGGUAAUGGCUCACCAAGGCGACGACGGGUAGCCGGCCUGAGAGGGUGACCGGCCACACUGGGACUGAGACACGGCCCAGACUCCUACGGGAGGCAGCAGUGGGGAAUAUUGCACAAUGGGCGAAAGCCUGAUGCAGCGACGCCGCGUGAGGGAUGACGGCCUUCGGGUUGUAAACCUCUUUCAGCAGGGAAGAAGCCACAAGUGACGGUACCUGCAGAAGAAGCGCCGGCUAACUACGUGCCAGCAGCCGCGGUAAUACGUAGGGCGCAAGCGUUGUCCGGAAUUAUUGGGCGUAAAGAGCUCGUAGGCGGUUUGUCGCGUCUGCUGUGAAAGCCCGGGGCUUAACCCCGGGUGUGCAGUGGGUACGGGCAGACUAGAGUGCAGUAGGGGAGACUGGAAUUCCUGGUGUAGCGGUGGAAUGCGCAGAUAUCAGGAGGAACACCGAUGGCGAAGGCAGGUCUCUGGGCUGUUACUGACGCUGAGGAGCGAAAGCAUGGGGAGCGAACAGGAUUAGAUACCCUGGUAGUCCAUGCCGUAAACGUUGGGCACUAGGUGUGGGGGACAUUCCACGUUUUCCGCGCCGUAGCUAACGCAUUAAGUGCCCCGCCUGGGGAGUACGGCCGCAAGGCUAAAACUCAAAGGAAUUGACGG